CUAUUACAACAAAAAAAGACCAGGCACAACGCAAUCCAAGCCAGCACAUGUCCAUAAUUAUCGAUGGUAUGGAUCAAGCAAAGACCAAUUUGCCACAUUUUGCUGGGAGGAACCCAAAGAAUCUGCAUGCAGUGGAUCUUCUGCAUACUCAUGUCACUGGAGUGCUAAGUCACGGGCAUGGAGGGUUUCAUGCCUAUGUGGACAUUACUGAAUAUCCUCAUGAUCCCAACUUGACAAUCAACAUCAUACUUAAAGAGCUACUACGUCAAGC